rnacentral:rRNA from 1 species
UACGUAGGAUCCAAGCGUUGUCCGGAUUUACUGGGUGUAAAGGGUGCGCAGGCGGACUUAUAAGUCAGAGGUGAAAUCUCACAGCUUAACUGUGAAACUGCCUUUGAUACUGUAGGUCUUGAAUUAGGGAGAGAUUCGUGGAAUUCCGAGUGUAGCAGUGAAAUGUGUAGAUAUUCGGAAGAACACCAGUGGCGAAGGCAGCGAAUUGGCCCUAUAUUGACGCUCAGGCACGAAAGCAUGGGGAUCAAACAGG